rnacentral:rRNA from 1 species
ACUCCUACGGGAGGCAGCAGUGGGGAAUUUUGGACAAUGGGCGAAAGCCUGAUCCAGCCAUGCCGCGUGCAGGAUGAAGGCCUUCGGGUUGUAAACUGCUUUUGUACGGAACGAAACGGCCUUUUCUAAUAAAGAGGGCUAAUGACGGUACCGUAAGAAUAAGCACCGGCUAACUACGUGCCAGCAGCCGCGGUAAUACGUAGGGUGCAAGCGUUAAUCGGAAUUACUGGGCGUAAAGCGUGCGCAGGCGGUUAUGUAAGACAGUUGUGAAAUCCCCGGGCUCAACCUGGGAACUGCAUCUGUGACUGCAUAGCUAGAGUACGGUAGAGGGGGAUGGAAUUCCGCGUGUAGCAGUGAAAUGCGUAGAUAUGCGGAGGAACACCGAUGGCGAAGGCAAUCCCCUGGACCUGUACUGACGCUCAUGCACGAAAGCGUGGGGAGCAAACAGGAUUAGAAACCCGGGUAGUCCC